rnacentral:sRNA from 1 species
CACAGAUAAGCCAUAUUUCACUGAAGGUUGACAGGUUGUAAGAAGCGUUGAGAAUCAACAGUUGUCCUUUUGUGAAGGGCACACACUGCGGAAGAUGACCAUGUCAGGUCAAGGGUCAAGGGAAAACACAGCUGUGGAAUCUGAUACGUGAAUUUGAACUUCAUUACAGUGAAAACCUUAGUUAUAUGUCUUUACAAAGGAGUUUCGAGACAAAAUCAAGACAAUGUAGGAUUGGACAGUGUCAAAAUAUUAACUGGGAUUCAAAUUGCUGUUGGAUGAAAAUAGAGAUGAUCAAACUGCACAGGUGUUAGAUUGAAGGCAUGCAGGUUUCUGAUUGUAUAAAAUCAAUUUUUGCGACUGAUGACACAUAACCAAAUGAUAUCCUUUAUACAUUUCAUCACAGGGUUCAGGGGCCAAGAUAUUGUCAACUAAAAAGUAGGGAUUCAAAUCUGACUGCUCCAUCCCUAAGUGUAGUGGAUGUGGAUCCUGUGGAUGAAAAACAAGUCAAAAACCUGCAGGUCAAUAAGUUGAAACAUGAAAGAAAGUCUUAGUGCUCAUGUAUACGUGUUUUUCAGUAGUUCUAUAGUGGAUGUGUAGAAUAAAAUCCUUAAUUACCUU